UACGAAGGGGGCUAGCGUUGCUCGGAAUCACUGGGCGUAAAGGGUGCGUAGGCGGGUCUUUAAGUCAGGUGUGAAAUCCUGGAGCUCAACUCCAGAACUGCCUUUGAUACUGAAGAUCUUGAGUCCGGGAGAGGUGAGUGGAACUGCGAGUGUAGAGGUGAAAUUCGUAGAUAUUCGCAAGAACACCAGUGGCGAAGGCGGCUCACUGGCCCGGUACUGACGCUGAGGCACGAAAGCGUGGGGAGCAAACAGG
rnacentral:rRNA from 1 species